rnacentral:rRNA from 1 species
GACGAACGCUGGCGGCGUGCCUAAUACAUGCAAGUCGAACGCUGAAGCUUGGUGCUUGCACCGAGCGGAUGAGUUGCGAACGGGUGAGUAACGCGUAGGUAACCUGCCUGGUAGCGGGGGAUAACUAUUGGAAACGAUAGCUAAUACCGCAUAAGAGUAGAUGUUGCAUGACAUUUGCUUAAAAGGUGCAAUUGCAUCACUACCAGAUGGACCUGCGUUGUAUUAGCUAGUUGGUGAGGUAACGGCUCACCAAGGCAACGAUACAUAGCCGACCUGAGAGGGUGAUCGGCCACACUGGGACUGAGACACGGCCCAGACUCCUACGGGAGGCAGCAGUAGGGAAUCUUCGGCAAUGGACGGAAGUCUGAACGAGCAACGCCGCGUGAGUGAAGAAGGGUUUCGGAUCGUAAAGCUCUGUUGUAAGAGAAGAACGAGUGUGAGAGUGGAAAGUUCACACUGUGACGGUAUCUUACCAGAAAGGGACGGCUAACUACGUG